UACGAGGGUGCAAGCGUUUGUCCGGAAUUAUUGGGCGUAAAGAGCUCGUAGGCGGUUUGUCGCGUCGGCUGUGAAAACUCGGGGGCUCAACCCCCGAGCCUGCAGUCGAUACGGGGCAAACUUGAGUGCGGUAGGGGGAGACUGGAAUUCCUGGUGUAGCGGUGAAAUGCGCAGAUAUCGGGAAGAACACCCGUGGCGAAGGCGGCUCUCUGGGACGGUACUGACGCUGAGACGCGAAAGCGUGGGGGAGCGAACAGG
rnacentral:rRNA from 1 species